UACGGAGGGUGCGAGCGUUGUCCGGAAUCACUGGGCGUAAAGGGCGCGUAGGCGGCUCGUGAAGUCAGUGGUGAAAGCCCAGGGCUCAACUCUGGGUCGGCCACUGAUACUCGCGAGCUCGAGUUUGGUAGAGGCAGAUGGAAUUCCGGGUGUAGCGGUGGAAUGCGUAGAGGAUCCGGAAGAACACCGGUGGCGAAGGCGGUCCUGGCUGGGCCAAGACUGG
rnacentral:rRNA from 1 species